rnacentral:snoRNA from 1 species
CCACAGCCAGUUAAGCCAAUCAGCUCUUUUUCUCAGGGAACCUGCUGUGCAAUGGCUGCAAGCAACAGACCCUCUGGGAAUUCAUUCAGCCUGUUGCUUGUAGGGGUUGCCCUCAAGAACCCUGGAGUCUACU